rnacentral:rRNA from 1 species
AUUGAACGCUGGCGGCAGGCUUAACACAUGCAAGUCGAGCGGAGAGAGGUAGCUUGCUACUGAUCUUAGCGGCGGACGGGUGAGUAAUGCUUAGGAAUCUGCCUAUUAGUGGGGGACAACAUUUCGAAAGGAAUGCUAAUACCGCAUACGUCCUACGGGAGAAAGCAGGGGAUCUUCGGACCUUGCGCUAAUAGAUGAGCCUAAGUCGGAUUAGCUAGUUGGUGGGGUAAAGGCCUACCAAGGCGACGAUCUGUAGCGGGUCUGAGAGGAUGAUCCGCCACACUGGGACUGAGACACGGCCCAGACUCCUACGGGAGGCAGCAGUGGGGAAUAUUGGACAAUGGGCGCAAGCCUGAUCCAGCCAUGCCGCGUGUGUGAAGAAGGCCUUAUGAUUGUAAAGCACUUUGAGCGAGGAGGAGGCUACUUUAGAUAAUACCUAGAGAUAGUGGACGUUACUCGCAGAAUAAGCACCGGCUAACUCUGUGCCAGCCGCCGCCGUAAGAC